CAUCCUACUGGCAUACCCCCUCACUGCCGAUGCGCUCUUCUGCCCUAUCUGCCUGCCGCCCCGACAUUUCCACCUCCUCGGGGGAGUCACCAGGCACCUGAAGAGAUGCCACGGCAAAUCCGUCGCCUUCAGCUGCGCCCGCUGCAGCCUGCCCUUUGAAACUCAGAAGAGGUGCAAGGCACACCAGGCCAGCUGCAAGAGACCCCGUGCAGCGGCAGCUCCGGCUCCGGCCUCCCGCUCCUCUGUGCCCCGGUCCGCUGCUCCUGCACCACGAGGUAACCGGGGGCCCCCCCCAGCCGCUACCCCGUACCCCGCCCCAGUCUCCGAGCCAAUGGCCCAGGGCCCCGCCGCCGAGACGUCGCCCCCCGCAACGGGAAACGCCGACCGAGCCCCUGCCGGCAGGAGACCCAUCACAUCCUCCCAGGUCACCCGGAAGCUCUCGGAGCUGAGGCGCCUCAGUGCCCUCCCGGCGCUCAACCAGCACGACCCCACCGCCCGCAGGACCAGUGCCCCACCAGGUGUGGCCGCCCAAAACUCUGCCCCCGAUAGAACCGAUGCUGGCUCGCAGACCACACCGCGGGCACCGGACACCAGAAAAGCCGACGCGACCCCGCGGCCCGCACCGCGAACCCCACCCGCUGGGGCUGCGGGGCCCACCCCCCAGCUCACUCCGCAAACUGCUGGUGCUAGGGAGGUCAGUACUGCGGCCAGUCCACAGCGCCAGCCCCCCAUCGCCAGACGGUCCGUCACGGCCCCAGGCGCCACCAGGCCAAUCCCCACCGCCAGAAGGUCGCACGCUCCCACAGCGACCCGUCGGUCAAUACCAGCACACGGAGGUCCUGCCACCACCCGUGCCCCCACCGACCUGAUCCGGACCCCACCAACGGCGGACAACAACACCUCUCCGCCGGCGACUACGCCCCAGGACCCAGAGGUACGGUCUCCAGAUCCACAAGUGGGACACCCUGUCGACCACGCAGCCAACCUGCCGCCCAUGCCAAUAGAGGGACCCGAGGACCAGCGACCGGCGGCUAGACCGGCCACGCCCUGGCAGACCACUUGGAUCGGGGAACUCCAAACAGCUGCCUCCUUUGCGGAAUUCGACUCGUGCGUCAACAGGCUCACCCAGGAGCUGGCCACAGAGAUCGCUUUCCGGAGAACCCCGAACCAGGAGAACACCCGGCCUACCCCCAGACGGCCCCCCCCACACCGUGGCACAAACACGAGGGAAGCUAGACGGAGGAACACUAGCCGCCGCUAUGACCCGGCAGCGGCGUCAAGGAUCCAGAAGCUGUAUCGGACUAACCGCCUCAAGGCCGUGAGAGAGGUCCUCGACGGGCCCCCGUCCUACUGCACGAUCCCGCCCGAACGCCUCCACAGCUACUUCCACGGGGUGUUCGGUGGCGUGCCCAGGAACGACGUGCCGCGCCCGGAGUGCCUCCACCCCCUGCCCCGCAUCUCAGACUCCGAUGGCCUGGAGGCCAACUUCACCCCCAAAGAGGUGAUGGCCAGGCUCUCCAGAACGAAGAACACAGCGCCCGGAAAAGACAGCAUCCCCUACAGCCUCCUAAAAAGACGUGACCCUGGCUGCCUUGUGCUCUCCAGUAUAUUCAACCUCUGCAGGCAAUUCAGCCAAACCCCCACCUCCUGGAAGAGGGCCAUGACCGUCCUUAUACAUAAGAAAGGAGAGCGUGACGACCCCGGCAAUUGGAGACCCAUCUCCCUUUGCUCCACAAUGUAUAAACUUUACGCCAGCUGCCUUGCAGCCAGAAUCACGGAGUGGGCGACGGCCGGAGGGGCCAUCAGCCCUGCCCAGAAGGGCUUCAUGCCGUCAGAGGGGUGCUACGAGCACAACUUCCUGCUCCAAACCGUCAUUCAGA
ensembl:lncRNA